GGCCCCUUAGCUCAGUCGGUUAGAGCGCCGUGCUAAUAACGCGGAUGUCGUGGGUUCGACCCCCACAGGAGCCA